GACCGCUUCCUUCCAAGUCAUUUGGACUUACGAAAGAGCUUCUGCUGUGUGAAUUCUCUUGGCGCCGGGAAGCAAGAACGGAGGAAUUUUGAAGACACUCGGUACACAUGCGGAACGUACAAAUCUCCCACAUGCUCUCCGAGGGCAGAAACCCCGCACAACGCCACUUGCCAGGCACCCUUGUUCACUCUGCCUCACAAACCCUCCCUAUGAGGACACAGUCCUGACACACGGUGCUCCCACCCUGGCGCUUGUUGGUCUCCCCAUAGAGCAAGAAUGAUGGGAGACCUCAGCUUCAAGCCUCUGGCAAGCAACCCAGGGAAUAAGAAAGUCUCGUUUGUUUUUGUAACAUUUAUCGCUGCCUUCUUAUGACCAGUGAUACUGGUUUUCCAUUUAUGGUCGGGAAAAGAAGUAUAAAAAGGAAGGACA